rnacentral:rRNA from 1 species
AUUGAACGCUGGCGGCAGGCCUAACACAUGCAAGUCGAACGAGUGGCGGACGGGUGAGUAAUGUCUGGGAAACUGCGUGAUGGAGGGGGAUAACUCCUGGAAACGGUAGCUCAUACCGCAUACCAUCGGAUGUGCGCAGAGGGGAUUAGCUAGUAGGUGGGGUAAAGGCUCACCUAGGCGACGAGCCCUAGCUGGUCUGAGAGGAUGACCAGCCACACUGGAACUGAGACACGGUCCAGACUCCUACGGGAGGCAGCAGUGGGGAAUAUUGCACAAUGGGCGCAAGCCUGAUGCAGCCAUGCCGCGUGUAUGAAGAAGGCCUUCGGGUUGUAAAGUACUUUCAGCGGGGAGGCGUUACCCGCAGAAGAAGCACCGGCUAACUCCGUGCCAGCAGCCGCGAUAAUUC